GACGUAGGGGGCGAGCGUUGUCCGGAUUUAUUGGGCGUAAAGAGCUCGUAGGCGGCUCAGAAAGUCGGGUGUGAAACCUCCAGGCUCAACCUGGAGACGCCACCUGAUACUGCUGUGGCUAGAGUCCGGUAGGGGAACACGGAAUACCCGGUGUAGCGGUGAAAUGCUUAGAUAUCGGGUGGAACACCAGUGGCGAAGGCGCUACCUGGACCGGUUCUGACGCUGAUGCGCGAAAGCGUGGGUAGCAAACAGG
rnacentral:rRNA from 1 species